rnacentral:rRNA from 1 species
UAGUACGCAAGGAAUGGUCUCAGCGAUGCUCGACUAUAUUGGCCCCAUCGACGUAAUCAACUUCUGGCUGCUGCAAAGAAGGAGAACAAAAGGUUUUGGGAUUAAUAAGGUGCCACGGAAGUGGCGCACCUUCUCAGGUGCCAUGUGGGUGCAUAGCCCCUGGCACCCUAUGGAAUUAACACUAGGGCUCAUCAUACUAAUAGUGUUGACGUAUGGAUUAAAGGCCCCAACUCUAAGAUUAGCAACAUUCUGUUUAGGAGUUAUAUUACUUCUGAGUGCUGCUGGGUUAUUAGCUGAACCCCAUCUGCUAUGUUGGACACAGGCUAUUAAGAUGUUGGUGAUGCUAAGUGGGUUAGCCAUACUAUGUAUGCUGGACCAUCGAACAUCGCAUCGAUCAAGCUCUUUAUUGAUUUUAUUAGUGAUCUUAGGUAAUUUAUUACUUAUUGGAUCAACAAAUUUAAUUUCGAUAUAUUUAGCAUUAGAAAUGCAAACAUUAUGUAUGUUUAUCUUAGUGGCUUAUAAUAAAAACUCAUUAUUAUCAGCAGAAGCUGGGUUGAAAUACUUCGUGUUAGGGGCACUAUCUUCGGGGUUGUUCCUGUUUGGUUGUGCCUUAAUUUAUGGCUCCACAGGAGAGCUGGAACUUCAAUUUAUUCGUAUGAGUGUAAUAUCUUAUGGAGCAUUAGCUGGUAAGUGUCUUAUUACUGUCU